AUACUUACCUGGCAGGAGAGAUGCCAUGAUCACAAAGGUGGUUUUCCCAGGGUGAGGCUUAUCGAUUACACUCCAGAUAUGUGGACCCCUGCAAUUUCCCCAAAUGUGGAAAACUCAAUUGCAUAAUUUGUGGUAGUGAGGGACUGUGUUAGUGCUCUCCCCUG